rnacentral:lncRNA from 1 species
UUCCGCCAUGAUUGUGAGGCUUCCCCAGCCAUGUGGAAACAUAUUCGCAGAGCACCCACUAGGUGCCAGUAAAUGUAUGAGAAGUCCUGUGGAAUAAGACUGAAGUUGUCCUUGCCUUCAAGCAACUUGCAAUUGCCUAAGAACACAGUUUAAAACCACAAAACUAAGCCUUGGAAAUCACAUGCUGUCAUUUCUGCGAUCGGUCAUAACCAGUCCUGAUUCCAUGUUAGAGGAGACUACAUAAGGACACAGGUACCAGAAGCUGAUAUAAGUCUUUUGAGGUACAGCCUGGCACAAAAAGGAUGAGAUUUGUGGGCAGAAUUUUGGAAGAAUAUCUCCCGAGAGAACAUUCAGGACAGAUUGCACUGCUUUGGAGAGCUGGUGAUGAAAUCCGGCCAUUGAAUUACACUGCACUAUAAACUUCAUUUGUUCUUGGGUGCAUAGUGAUUUGCUAUAAUAAUGAUCAUCCAUUUGCCAGACAGCUGAGAUUUUUUAAAAGCUUGAUUGCUUUUGGCAUGGCAUUAUUAGUCCUGGAAGAAGGCAGCACAUUUGUAGCAAUUCUCAGCUUGAGCAAACUAGAAUAUUCACCUCCCACAAAUGCUGGCCAUUUAAGAUCUGUGUGUUAGACUUUGGCAUUUUUUCUAGCAAUUCUACAACAGCAUACACACUUUUAUUUUUCAUUAACACCAUUGUGAAUAUGCCCAUCUCUAAAAUUUCAAGGGGGUUCACUUAAGCUACUGAGUUUUAUGGACAGAAGGGCCAAGAAAAGUCCCCAAAGAAGAGUGCAUGCUGUCAAUUGCCAAUUAUUUUUUUUUCUAAUGAAAGCCAAACAAUUCCAGACAAACCCUUUUCUAAGAAAUGAACUACAUAUCUGGAUCCAAAUAAAUACUCAUCUGAUAAGAAUCUAAAAGCUCUACUGAAUUACAGUGGAUGAGAACAUGAUGAUGGUGAUUCUUUGAAGAUUACUGAGGAAAUCAACUCUCAUGUCUGAUUCUGAUACUUUUAUAGUCCAUCCAUGUUGAAAAUGUCUAUGGAAUGAUUCUGUUGUACCUUGAGAAAUGAAAUUCAUAGGCAUGGAUUCUCUCACACAGCAACUUUAUACACAAAGAUGAGAAUAGAAGAAAGGUCAUUUCCAAAGAAAGUGACAUUUAUUCUGUAUUCACUGAAAAGCCAAAAGAAUUUUCUCAUUCACCCAUACCGACAGAGCCCUACAUCUCCCCGAGAAGAGGUGAAAGAGACUGCUCCUAUCUGCUUCUGCAUCAAACUUCAGGCUCAAGACCUGUCCAGAAAAAAAAAUGUCUUCUUUCAGGGAUGAACUGCUGUCCUCAUCAGACGCCUUAUUUUGUUUAGAAUUCAAGCUCACUUGACAGGUUAUUGUGAAGAUUAAAUGAAUUAAUACAUGUGAAGCAACUGUAACAACUCUUGACAUGCGUGGGCUGGACUUCCAGAAGAAACGUUGUCAGAACUCUGCCCAACUGAAAACAAGCCUACUAAAAAUAAAUAAAUAAAUAAAAUUUUAAAAAAUUGAUUAAUUAAAA